UACGCUACUUGUGUAAUUGUAUAUAAAAAUGUUUGUGCUUUGCUUUGGAUGACCGGUCAGAAAGUAACUGAUAUCAGUAUUUCAUUUGCAGCUGUUGCACCAGUGAAGGAUGUCUGUGUGCCGCCUUGCAUUCAGUUUCUCAGCCAUGGGGGCCUGCUUGCAACACCAGUGGAAAAGCAGUCUUGCAUUGUGCUAUUUGUUCUGGAAGGACACAAGCAUUGAGGAGCCAUUUGACCUGCCACUACACUGAUAUUGUAUUUGGCAAAGCAGGAGGCAUGUGCAAGCAACUAGUCAUUCCGAUUCUCAACCAAUCCUUCUAGUCAGGCCAUUUCUAG